rnacentral:rRNA from 1 species
GGUUAAGCGACUAAGCGUACACGGUGGAUGCCCUGGCAGUCAGAGGCGAUGAAGGGCGUGCUAAUCUGCGAUAAGCGCCGGUAAGGUGAUAUGAACCGUUAUAACCGGCGAUACCCGAAUGGGGAAACCCAGUGUGAUUCGUCACACUAUCAUUAACUGAAUCCAUAGGUUAAUGAGGCGAACCGGGGGAACUGAAACAUCUAAGUACCCCGAGGAAAAGAAAUCAACCGAGAUUCCCCCAGUAGCGGCGAGCGAACGGGGAGGAGCCCAGAGCCUGAAUCAGCAUGUGUGUUAGUGGAAGCGUCUGGAAAGGCGCGCGAUACAGGGUGACAGCCCCGUACACAAAAGCGCAUGUGCUGUGAGCUCGAUGAGUAGGGCGGGACACGUGGUAUCCUGUCUGAAUAUGGGGGGACCAUCCUCCAAGGCUAAAUACUCCUGACUGACCGAUAGUGAACCAGUACCGUGAGGGAAAGGCGAAAAGAACCCCGGCGAGGGGAGUGAAAAAGAACCUGAAACCGUGUACGUACAAGCAGUGGGAGCACCCUUUGGGGUGUGACUGCGUACCUUUUGUAUAAUGGGUCAGCGACUUAUAUUCUGUAGCAAGGUUAACCGAAUAGGGGAGCCGUAGGGAAACCGAGUCUUAACCGGGCGUUAAGUUGCAGGGUAUAGACCCGAAACCCGGUGAUCUAGCCAUGGGCAGGUUGAAGGUUGGGUAACACUAACUGGAGGACCGAACCGACUAAUGUUGAAAAAUUAGCGGAUGACCUGUGGCUGGGGGUGAAAGGCCAAUCAAACCGGGAGAUAGCUGGUUCUCCCCGAAAGCUAUUUAGGUAGCGCCUCGUGAAUUCAUCUCCGGGGGUAGAGCACUGUUUCGGCUAGGGGGCCAUCCCGGCUUACCAACCCGAUGCAAACUGCGAAUACCGGAGAAUGUUAUCACGGGAGACACACGGCGGGUGCUAACGUCCGUCGUGAAGAGGGAAACAACCCAGACCGCCAGCUAAGGUCCCAAAGUCAUGGUUAAGUGGGAAACGAUGUGGGAAGGCCCAGACAGCCAGGAUGUUGGCUUAGAAGCAGCCAUCAUUUAAAGAAAGCGUAAUAGCUCACUGGUCGAGUCGGCCUGCGCGGAAGAUGUAACGGGGCUAAACCAU